rnacentral:rRNA from 1 species
CCUACGGGUGGCAGCAGUGGGGAAUAUUGCACAAUGGGGGAAACCCUGAUGCAGCGACGCCGCGUGAGUGAAGAAGUAUUUCGGUACGUAAAGCUCUAUCAGCAGGGAAGAAAAAAAGUCCUUUGGACUUUGGACGGUACCUGACUCAGAAGCCCCGGCUAACUACGUGCCAGCAGCCGCGGUAAUACGUAGGGGGCAAGAGUUAUCCGGAGUUACGGGGUGUGAAGGGAGAGUAGACGGAAGCGCAAGUCUGGAGUGAAGGAAGUCAGCGGUGAAAUGCCCCCGCUCAACGGGGUGAAGUGCCAUUGAUACUGCCUUGCUGGAAUGCGGAUGCGGUGGGAGGAAUGUGUGGUGUAGCGGUGAAAUGCAUAGAUAUCACGAAGAACACCGAUUGCGAAGGCAGCAUACCGGCGCCCGACUGACGCUGAGGCACGAAAGCGUGGGGAGCGAACAGGAUUAGAUACCCCUGUAGUC